GACGUAGGGGGCGAGCGUUGUCCGGAUUUAUUGGGCGUAAAGCGCGCGUAGGCGGCCGCGCAAGUCGGAUGUGAAAACCCGGGGCUCAGCCCCGGGCCGUGCAUUCGAUACUGCGCGGCUCGAGACAGGUAGGGGAGAUCGGAAUUCCUGGUGUAGCGGUGAAAUGCGCAGAUAUCAGGAGGAACACCGGUGGCGAAGGCGGAUCUCUGGGCCUGUUCUGGCGCUGAGGCGCGAAAGCUAGGGGAGCGAACAGG
rnacentral:rRNA from 1 species